rnacentral:rRNA from 1 species
ACGAGUGGCGGACGGGUGAGUAAUGUCUGGGAAACUGCCUGGUGGAGGGGGAUAACUACUGGAAACGGUAGCUAAUACCGUAUAACGUCGCAAGACCAAAGAGGGGGACCUUAGGGCCUCUUGCCAUCGGAUGUGCCCAGAUGGGAUUAGCUAGUAGGUGGGGUAACGGCUCACCUAGGCGACGAUCCCUAGCUGGUCUGAGAGGAUGACCAGCCACACUGGAACUGAGACACGGUCCAG